CAUUUGGAAGACUGUUUUAACAGAAAUCGUCUUUAUGAGUCUUUUUUGAGUCCCCUUGACGAUUAAAAAACGACUAAUCUCCUGGGCGAUUGAAAGAAGACUCAUAAAUGACCCAUCCAUAUGCUCAAAGUAUGAUUACUUUAAAAUACAAAAACGAAAUGCAAAGCAAUCGCCAAAUGAGCAUGCAGGUGAUUAAAAUAUUAUCAUUGCUUGGUUUUGCUUUGUUACUAUGCACUCAUAUUCUGCUCGCUUGGCUGAUCGAAAAGCGAUUCUUAUCUAAGCUUAUAUCUAAGUUAAACGGUACUUUUUCUUAAGCACAAGCCGAAAUGUGCAAAUUUUGUCAUUCGAGCGUGAAUGUGCAAAUGAAGUGCAAGUGCGAAGUGCAUACAAAUAAAUUAUAUCAAUUAUAUCAAACAUAUAAUAUCGAGAGUUGGAGGAGAUGGGCCCACACAAUUUGUUAGAGCUGCGAUCAGAAAAGUUUUUUCGGACAAGGUAGCUUCCGAAUACAGCUGGAAGGGGACAAAAAUUAAACCAUCAGCAGAAAGGUGUUACAUUAUAGCCGUAAUAAAAAGAUUUAAAUACGGUGCUACAAAAGCAUUUUGUCCAUGCCAAUGACAGGCUG